UCAGCUAAUGCCUGCACAGAUGAAGCUGACAUCUGAUCUUUCAUGUCCUAACGAGGGUGUUUGUUGUCUGAAGCUUUAAAUCCGAAUUUGUAUGCAUCCGAUUCCCGCUGACAUUUCAAGUGCCAGAAGAGAGAACACUAACAAAAAUGAAGAAAAGUGUCUGACAAUAUUUUGUCUGUGGAAUACUGAUGAGCAAAAAGGAUGAGUGUUCAGUAGAGAAUCAUAUAGCUGUUGGGCCCAAGCUGAAUACAUCACUGAGCUCCUUGGCCAGCAAAGCAUCUACCAAGGAAACGUGGAAUGGCACCUGUGGC